rnacentral:rRNA from 1 species
UACGUAGGUGGCAAGCGUUGUCCGGAAUACUGGGCGUAAAGCGUGCGCAGGCGGUUCGUUGUGUCGGCGGUGAAAGCCCCGGGCUUAACCUGGGAAUGGCCGUUGAAACUGGCGAACUGGAGUGUGGCAGAGGGGGGGUGGAAUUCCGCGUGUAGCAGUGAAAUGCGUAGAGAUGCGGAGGAACACCGAUGGCGAAGGCAGCCCCCUGGGCUGACACUGACGCUCAGGCACGAAAGCGUGGGGAGCAAACAGG